ensembl:lncRNA
CUCGGCCAGCAGUGAGUUGAGAUGCUGAAAGAUAUAGAGUGUCAGCCAGCAGUGAGUUGGGAUGCUGAAAGAUAUAGAGCCUCGGCCAGCAGUGAGUUGGGAUGCUGAAAGAUAUAGAGUGUCGGCCAGCAGUGAGUUGGGAUGCUGAACGAUAUAGAGCCUCGGCCAGCAGUGAGUUGAGAUGCUGAAAGAUAUAGAGUGUCGGCCAGCAGUGAGUUGGGAUGCUGAACCCUGUAAAGAGAGGUUGAGUAGGUCAUACCUUAGAUACAGAAAGUCAUAGCCCUGUAACCUAGCACCCUCUCUCUCUCACUGGGACUCCCCUGAACACUCACACACACUCACACACUCACACACACACACACACACACACACACACACACACACACACACACACACACACACACAACUACACCUACCAAUGUGUCCCCAGAUAGCAGCAGUAGGCAAAUGACAUUACUGAUCCGUAGAACAGUUGAUUAAUGAAUCCAAUGGAACAGCUGAAUUUAUAGCCACAUGUGGGUUGUAUGUAGAAAACAUGUAUAAUGUAUGCAUGAGCGCGUGUGUGUUUAAAUGAGCGCGUGUGUCUGUAUGCAUUACUUUGAUUCUAGUACACUGAGUAAAUAACUGGUGAAUAAAUUAUUCUCCACGUGUACACUGUUAAAAUGAAGUGCUCUGUAACACUUAAACUAGUGUCAACUGAGCUGCCACCACCUUAAAGGAGACCAAACCUUAACUUUUCCGGAGUAUUGAAACACAUGGUUUGUCAGGGUAUUGGGGCAGAUAUAAGGUGUUCUGAAACAUUGACCCUGAGGGGUUCUGAAACAUUGACCCUGAGGGGUUCUGAAACAUUGACCCUGAGGGGUUCUGAAACAUUAACCCUGAGGGGUUCUGAAACAUUAACCCUGAGGGGUUCUGAAACAUUGACCCUGAGGGGUUCUGAAACAUUGACCCUGAGGGGUUCUGAAACAUUGACCCUGAGGGGUUCUGAAACACGGCGUGGUGUGUUAUAAAACCACAUAUUCAUUCAAAAGGUUAAGAAUGCUAUUAUGGUGUUUCAAGUCCCGUGCAGCAUUAGAUCCCUUCUCUUUCAGUGUAGUUUCCUCUCUCAAGCUCCUAAACAGUAUUAUGCUCGAACAAAAGACACUAGAAAAUAUAGUUUUGUGAAAAUACAAAUUAAUUUGUUUUUCCAGGAUAAUAAUUGAGAACAACAUUUAUUUUUCAAAACAUGAUUGAAGCUUAUAAUGGUUUCUUUUAUUUGCAAAUGAUUAAAUGACAAUGAAACAUUAACAGGUUUUUCACAUUUUUAUAUUGAUAAAGACGGUUCAAAGAUCUUGUCACGUUCUGACCUUAGUUCCUUUGUGAUGUCUUUGUUUUAGUUUGGUCAGGGCAUGAGUUGGGUGGGCAGUCUAUGUUCUUUUUUGUAUGAUUUGGUAUUUCUGUGUUUGGCCUGGUAUGGUUCUCAAUCAGAGGCAGCUGUCAAUCGUUGUCCCUGAUUGAGAACCAUACUCAGGCAGCCUGUUUUCACCCUUGAGUUGUGGGUGAUUAUAUUUCCUGUUUAGUGCUUUUGUCAUUCACCUUACGGGACUGUUCGUUUGUCAUUUAUUGUUUUGUUCAGUGUUCGAUUACAGUUCAUAUAAGGAAAUCAAAUAUAUUAAUUAGGCAAUAAUCUUUGGAUUUCACAUUGCUGGGCAGGAGCGCCUGGCUCCCAAGUGCGUGGGCCUAUGCCCUCCAGGAGAGCCAGACCCAGCCAAUCAGAAUGAGUUUUUCCCCAUAAAGGGUUUUAUUACAGACAUAAAUACUCCUCAGUUUCAUUAGCUGUUCAGGUGGCUGGUAGACAAUCUCGCAGGUGAAGAAGCCGGAAGUGGAGGUCCUGGGUUUGCGUGAUUACACGUGGUCUGCGGUUGUCUAAAACGACAUUGGAGGCGGCUUAUGGCAGAGAAAUGAAUGCUCCCUUAAAACUUGAGACAUCUGUUGCAUUGUGUGACGAAACUGCACAUUUUAGAGGGGCCUUUUAUUGUCCCCAGCACAAGGUGCACCUGUGUAAUGAUCAUGAUGUUUAAUCAGCUUCUUGAUAUGCCACACCUGUCAGGUGGAUAGAUUAUCUUGGUAAAGGAGAAAUGCUCAAUAACAGGGAUGUAAACUAAUGUGUGCACAACAUUUGAGAGAAUUAAGCUUUUUGUGGGUAUGGAACAUUUCUGGGAUCUUUUAAUUCAACUCAUGAAACAUGGGACCAAUACUUUACAUGUUGAGUUUAUAUUUUUGUUCAGUAUAUAUUCAGAUGGUACAUGGCAUGGAAGGUUGUUCAGAUGGAUUGAAUCACAGUACAGUUGCGUAAGGUGAUAUGAUUGACAGGUCUGUUUGCAUUCGUCUGAUCCUUGGCUUUGGAUAGGCCAGCCCCUGGGUAACGUAGUAUGUAGGGGAGACAGAAAUAUCAAAUAAUAACGCAUAAUUCAGUUAUUAACAGCUUUAAUGAUAAUACAUUUAACAAGGCAAGUAAGUUAAGUACAAAUUCUUAUUUUCAAUGACGGCCUAGGAACAGUGUGUUAACUGCCUGUUCAGGGGCAGAAUGACAGAUUUGAACCUUGUCAGCUCAGUGGUUUGAACUUGCAACCUUCCGGUUACUAGUCCAACGCUCUAACCACUAGGCUACCCUGCCUCCCCAAUACCAAUAUGCUAAAUGCAAAUAUGUGAUUAAGCUAUGCAAAUAUAGCAACAAGAUAACAAUAUGAAUGUCAAAAGUUGGAUGCAAUAACGUGUGUUGUGGUAGGCUAAAGCUGGAGCAGACUAAAAUGGCAGUGGCUAUAUAGUGUAGCAUAUAGUGGCUAUAUAGUGUAGCAUACAGUGGCUAUAUAGUGUAGCAUAUAGUGGCUAUAUAGUGUAGCAUACAGUGGCUAUAUAGUGUAGCAUAUAGUGGCUAUAUAGUGUAGCAUAUAGUGGCUAUAUAGUGUAGCAUACAGUGGCUAUAUAGUGUAGCAUACAGUGGCUAUAUAGUGUAGCAUACAGUGGCUAUAUAGUGUAGCAUAUAGUGGCUAUAUAGUGUAGCAUACAGUGGCUAUAUAGUGUAGCAUACAGUAGCUAUAUAGUGUAGCAUACAGUAGCUAUAUAGUGUAGCAUACAGUAGCUAUAUAGUGUAGCAUAUAUCAUGUUGGGUGUACAUCAAAAAGUAGCUAAAACUCAUUAAGUUAGUAGACAAAUGACAAACGCAGGCCCUCAUUUGCAUAAGUGCAGGGAAUGGUGCAAACAAUGAUGUGUGAAUUAACUACUUGUAGAAUCAAGAAAACUGAUCAAUGAAUCAAAAUGACAGUUAUACUUGACCAUAGAGUUUGCUAGAGGGCACACCAGCCACUAAAUGCCUCAGACUGGUGGAAUUCGGAACAGAACAGGAGCGCAAUGAUUGAAGUUCACAUUUUUACUCUAAUCUAGAACUUUUGUCUUCUGAUAUGAAGGAAUGAAAAAAAUGAAGGUGGAAUUUCACAAAACAAAACUCUCCAUAGGCUUAUUCAAGUUGAUUUAACGUGACCUUUUUUUUGACUGUAGUAAAAUUCUUAUGGAGUCCAUGUUAAGUCUACUUAUCUCAAGUCUGAAUCUGGCCCCAUGUGGCUCAGUGUAACAAGAGUGGUUCAGCACAACAGUUAAGUCUUGAAGACUGGCUGUGUGGACUAAGGCAGUGUUUGGACAAGCAGGAGACUUGGGUUCAACAUCUACCUUCUCACAUGAAUCCUGCCGAUAAAGGUCCUUUAUACAUGUUACCUCUACUAUAGCCCUAAACAGUUUGAUUGUAACAUUAUCUAUAGUCUCACAAAGUUGCAACUGUAGUCUAUAAUUAGUGCCAAAGUCGACCCUAGGAAAUGUAUUAAAUUCCCAGUGUCUUCUUUAAAAUGUUAAAUCAAUAUUUAUAAUCAAUUAAUAUUUAUGCUGUAAACCAUUGGUAAGUGAAAUCGUUUUGAUGAUAUGAGAGACAGUCUGACAAAACAUUAUUAUUGUUGUUUCGAUGCUGCCUUAUACAUGCACUGAAACACCAACAAAUGCUUCCGCAACACACAAUGAUUCAGACUGAAGAACCAUUUAAGGGUGUUUCAGAGUCCUUCCGUUCUGUUUGGAAAUCCAUCCAGAGUAUCAGAACACUUCCAUUGAUUUAC